UUCCGGCUUGUGUGCUGAGCAGUGCAUGUGAGCCGAGUUUGAAAAGGGAGGUGCUGGGAAGUCAGAGGGCUAUUCUAUUUUUAACCCGGCCAUUGUUCCCCUUCGCCCCUGCGCACACGGUUCCUCUGGGUCCACGGGCUGCAGUCUGGGAUGGCCCUUUCAGGGACCCGAGGACACUCUGAGGACGGCAAGAGCAAGGUGGGACUCGUCGUGUUUGUGAACAACACUGCAGCAGCAGCCAUGGUGAAGGUGCAAACAGGACACUAACGGGGGAGUCGGGCCAAGGCAUGUAACUGUUUACCUUUUACAUGACAGAGAAAACAAACGUGUGCUCGUGCAGAGACAGACAGAAGACUUGUGACGAUUCUUUUUGGGAGAUCACUACAUUUUUAGAGAAGGCACACAUAAAUCUGGAUCAUGAAGCUGAUGGUGGCUGGAAAGCUUUGGAGGGAAAAGGACAACAUGAAAAAAAACAAUGCUGAUGAAAUGGAUUCUUACUUUGGCCAUCUGAGCCUGGACCCCACUGGACUUCAGAGCUGUAACAGCUUUCUGUGCUGCUGCUGGACUGUCGAAGUCCACAAAGCCAUAUCCUGUGAAACAGACACCACCGAGUUAAAACCUCUGUGAGGAGUGUGAAGCUAGUGUGAAUAGUUUAAACUUCUACACGGAAUCAACUCAGUGCUGCUGACACACCGUACGUCACAGUGGUUUGCAGUACGCACGUCAUAGGGGGGAAUGAACACGUGUGCUCUGGUGUUUCUGAAGCCUUUUUUCACAUUAAAAUAAGAGAACAUACGUGGGAUUUAUAAACCAGGGUGAAGUCGCUUAAAAAAAAGGUGCUUACCACCGUUCCUCUGCUCUGCAGUGUUGUUUUUCCACCCAUGUGUGAAUUGUGACGUCUCAGGCGGAGGUUACUAUUUCACAGCUUUUACUGGGGUCUCACUUUAAAUCGGCUGUUUAGAUCCAUGGUUCUCAAACGGUGGUAAAUAAUAAUAACAGUCACGUUAUCUCUCGCUCAUCUAAAUUCAUGUGAGGAAGAGAAUGAAUCCCUGGAAUAAAUAAUUUUUUUUGCAUUGUGUUCUACAAUGACACGAAUGAAAAGCUAAAUGUUGACCAACAGUCGCUUUAACUGUUUAACUGUGAUGACUACAAUGCAUAAAAGAGUGAAGACUUUGGAGGGAAUAACAUGUGAAUAACAUUGAACUGAUGGAAUCAGGAAGAAGGAAGACUUUGUGUGAGUGUCGACAUGGAUAGGAUCUGCUUCCAAGUAAAUCACCGUCAAUGUAAUGUGUACUUCAAAUUAAAAAUGCACAA